rfam:Hordeum vulgare subsp. vulgare, WGS project CAJW01000000 data, contig: morex_contig_275113
GUAGUACUCCCUCCGUCCCAAAAUUAUUGUCUUAGAUUUGUUUAGAUACGAAUGUAUCUAGUCAAAUUUUAGUAUUUAGAUACAUCCAUUUUAGACAAAGCUAAGACAAGAAUUUUGCACAGGGGAAGUGUAUA